GCUCUGUGAUGAACCCCUGUGUGUCAUCUGAGCCCAGCUUCCCUGUUGCCUUAGCCCAGGUAGUGUUCUUCUACUUUUCUUUAUUCUCUAUAUCUUUCUUUCCUUCUUACUCUGUGGC
ensembl:snoRNA